rnacentral:rRNA from 1 species
UUGUCAACAUUGAGGUCAAGGACGAGUCCGCAUGGACGAAGUCACCGAUAUCACGCUUCCAGGAAAAGCCUCUAAGCUUCAGGUCACGAGAGACCGUACCGUAAACCGACACAGGUAGGCAGGAUGAGAAUUCUCAGGCGCUUGAGAGAACUUGUGUGAAGGAACUAGGCAAAAUAGUACCGUAACUUCGGGAGAAGGUACGCCAGCACUUAAUUGUGUUGGCCGCAGUAACCAGGCCGCUGCGACUGUUUAUCAAAAACACAGCACUCUGCAAACACGAAAGUGGACGUAUAGGGUGUGACGCCUGCCCGGUGCCGGAAGGUUAAUUGAUGGGGUGCAAGCUCUUGAUCGAAGCCCCGGUAAACGGCGGCCGUAACGAUAGCGGUCCUAAGGUAGCGAAAUUCCUUGUCGGGUAAGUUCCGACCUGCACGAAUGGCGUAACGACAGCGGCGCUGUCUCCACCCAAGGCUCAGUGAAAUUGAAAUCGCUGUGAAGAUGCAGCGUUCCCGCGGCAAGACGGAAAGACCCCGUGAACCUUUACUAUAGCUUCACACUGAACGUUGAGUUCGUCUGUGUAGGAUAGGUGGGAGCCUACGAAGCGUUGGCGCUAGCUGAUGUGGAGGCAACCUUGAAAUACCACCCUGAUGUGCUUGACGUUCUAACCUGGGUCCGUAAUCCGGAUCGGGGACAGUGUGUGGUGGGUAGUUUGACUGGGGCGGUCUCCUCCCAAAGAGUAACGGAGGAGCACGAAGGUGCGCUCAGCACGGUCGGACAUCGUGCGUAGUGUGUAAAGGCAUAAGCGCGCUUGACUGCGAGAUCGACGGAUCAAGCAGGUACGAAAGUAGGUCUUAGUGAUCCGGUGGUUCUGUAUGGAAGGGCCAUCGCUCAACGGAUAAAAGGUACUCCGGGGAUAACAGGCUGAUACCGCCCAAGAGUUCAUAUCGACGGCGGUGUUUGGCACCUCGAUGUCGGCUCAUCACAUCCUGGGGCUGUAGCCGGUCCCAAGGGUAUGGCUGUUCGCCAUUUAAAGUGGUACGCGAGCUGGGUUCAGAACGUCGUGAGACAGUUCGGUCCCUAUCUGUCGUGGGCGUUAGAGAUUUGAGGGGGGUUGCUCCUAGUACGAGAGGACCGGAGUGAACGAAUCUCUGGUGUUCCGGUUGUCACGCCAGUGGCAUUGCCGGGUAGCUAAAUUCGGAAGCGAUAACCGCUGAAAGCAUCUAAGCGGGAAGCGCGCCCCAAGAUGAUAUCUCUCCCUCCUUGAGAGGAUAAGAGCCCAGGAAGACCACCUGGUUGAUAGGCGCGGUGUGUAAGCGUGGUAACACGUUGAGCUUACGCGUACUAAUUGCCC